rnacentral:rRNA from 1 species
AACGUAGGAGCCAAGCGUUAUCCGAAUUCACUGGGCGUAAAGCGCGUGCAGGCGGCUGCGCAAGUUGGGUGUGAAAUCUCCCGGCUCAACUGGGAGAGGCCGCUCAAGACUGCGUGGCUCGAGGCUGGUAGAGGGAGGUGGAAUUCCCGGUGUAGUGGUGAAAUGCGUAGAUAUCGGGAGGAACACCAGUGGCGAAAGCGGCCUCCUGGACCAGACCUGACGCUAAGAUGCGAAAGCUAGGGGAGCAAACGGG